rnacentral:rRNA from 1 species
GACAGAGGAUGCAAGUGUUAUCCGGAAUGAUUGGGCGUAAAGCGUCUGUAGGUGGCUUUUCAAGUCUUCCGUCAAAUCCCAGGGCUCAACCCUAGACAGGCGGUGGAAACUACCAAGCUGGAGUAUGGUAGGGGCAGAGGGCUCGUAGAGCCGGUGGAGCGGUGAAAUGCGUAGAGAUCGGAAUGAACACCAAUGGAGAAAGCACUCUGCUGGGCCGACACUGACACUGAGAGAUGAAAGCUAGGGGAGCAAAUGGG